rnacentral:lncRNA from 1 species
ACAGAUCUGUCACCAUGAAGGUGACCUUCUCUGUUGCCGUCCUUGUUCUAGCCAUCUCAGUGUGGACUUCCUUUGCAGUUGAUUUCUUCCUUCCUAUGGGCUUUCACACGACGGAGGAGCUUCUGAAAGAGACAAAGGUGAGCUCUAUUCCUAGGUUCCAAGAACAGGAACAGAGAGAGAGCCAGCUUCCCUCCCAGGGCCUUCUGGGAGGUGGGGAGCAGGAGUGACUUGCUUGGGAAUAUCACGAUCGUAAGAGAGUCCAAGCAAGCCCGGUUCAUUUGCUUGCCCCUUGGAGCUUCCCGACUCACUACUCCAAUCUACAAGCUACCUGUGAGGACCACCAUUAGAUGCAUGAAGAGGUCAUGGCUCAAAUUCAGGUUGGGCCCAUGCUGGUGUGGACAUUAUUUCCACAGUGAUACCGAGGAUAUUUAUCCGUCACUCUCACACCCAAACCCCAAGAUGCAUUCUGUCAACCUUUCCUCUUAACUGUGUUGUGGUAAGUGUGAGUGUUCUGCUAUUUAAGACAGUACAGUCUGUCAGUCAUUCACCAAUACUUAUAAGAAAUGCCAAUUUUUGCCAGGCAUGAUGUCUUAUGUCAGUUCUAGCACUGGGGAGACACAGGUAGAACGUUCUAUGUGAGUCUAAGGCCAGCCUAAUCUACAUAGUAAAUUCCAGGACAUACAGAGACUCUGUCUCAAAAUCAAACAAAACAAAAAACAAAACAAAAAACAAUAAAAAUCGAGUAACAAAAAACAAAAAGUAGAAAUAUCAAAAAGUGGUAGGGGCUGGGGGUUUAGCUCAGUGGUAGAGCGCUUGCCUAGCAAGCGCAAGGCCCUGGGUUCGGUCCUCAGCUCUGGAAAAAAAAAGUGGUAAAUGAGCUGGGUGGUGGGUACACCUUUAAUCCCACCACAGGGGAGGCAGAGGGGCAGGUGGAUCUCUGAGUUAGAGGCCAGCCUGGUCUACAGAGUGAGUUCCAGGACAGCCAGGGCCACACAGAGAAAAAAAGUAGAAAAGGAAACAACAAAAAGAAAAUUAAAAGAGGGCACUCCCUCAAAUUUUUAGAAAUUCCUUUCCUUUUUUCUUAAAAAUCUAAUUUAUGUGGGUCUAUAUGCGCACACAGCACAUGUAAACAGGUCCCACGGAAGCCAGAGGUCCCCUGGAGCUGGAGUUACAGGCAGUUGUGAGCCAUCUGGCAUGGGAGCUGGGAGCCGAAUGGAAGAGCAACGGGUGCUGAGCCAUCUCUCCAGCUCCAGAGAUGCCCGUUUGGAAAGACAUUUGCCAGCUUUCACUUUCUAUACUGUGACAUUGACACCUUGUGAUUUGUAGACCAGAGGCUUUCUUUCUGAGAAGGAAGAGGUGGGAGGCUAGGAAGUGCACAGAGCAUCUAUGAGAGCUACGUGGGUAACAACGGUAAGGACCAGGAUAGAUGGGCAGGAUCUGAAGCCCGUCUUCUGAGCUCCUGGUCUAGUGUGCCUUACUCUAUCCCCCAUUACCACCAACAGGGGCCAGAGGGCCCGGGGGGGGGGGGGAGACAAAGGAAGCAGUGCUCUGUGUCUCGCUUCAGGCCCUGUGCGUGAAGAAUGUACAGAUGUGCUGGAUACUUACCUACUUCAAGCUCAGUGAGCCGAUAUGUGGCAGUAACCAGGUUACCUACAAUGGCGAGUGCCAUCUCUGCUCCGAAAUUCUAUUUGAAGACAGAACUAUAAUUAAAGUGCAUGAUGGGCCAUGUGAAACCUCCUCCGAUUAGUUUGGACAAAAAUAAAAGUUACUGAGUUCCCGGAGAGCACAUGGAGCAUGAUUGACUCUUCGAAGAUACCCAAUUCGGGAGACAGGGUCUGGCGUUCAGUGGUAGAGUGCACUAGUGUGCAGGAAGCCUUGGGGAGUGUUAAAAGAGAGCAGCUCCUUGAGAGAACACUUUGGUAGUAGAAGAUACUUGGAUCAAAUUCAUUGAUUUGUUUCUUCAAUAAAUGAUUCUCAGCAUAAA